rnacentral:rRNA from 1 species
UUGAACGCUGGCGGCAGGCUUAACACAUGCAAGUCGAGCGGGGGAAGGUAGCUUGCUACCGGACCUAGCGGCGGACGGGUGAGUAAUGCUUAGGAAUCUGCCUAUUAGUGGGGGACAACAUCUCGAAAGGGAUGCUAAUACCGCAUACGUCCUACGGAAGAAAGCAGGGGAUCUUCGGACCUUGCGCUAAUAGAUGAGCCUAAGUCGGAUUAGCUAGUUGGUGGGGUAAAGGCCUACCAAGGCGACGAUCUGUAGCGGGUCUGAGAGGAUGAUCCGCCACACUGGGACUGAGACACGGCCCAGACUCCUACGGGAGGCAGCAGUGGGGAAUAUUGGACAAUGGGGGGAACCCUGAUCCAGCCAUGCCGCGUGUGUGAAGAAGGCCUUAUGGUUGUAAAGCACUUUAAGCGAGGAGGAGGCUACUUUAGUUAAUACCUAGAGAUAGUGGACGUUACUCGCAGAAUAAGCACCGGCUAACUCUGUGCCAGCAGCCGCGGUAAUACAGAGGGUGCGAGCGUUAAUCGGAUUUACUGGGCGUAAAGCGUGCGUAGGCGGCUUAUUAAGUCGGAUGUGAAAUCCCCGAGCUUAACUUGGGAAUUGCAUUCGAUACUGGUGAGCUAGAGUAUGGGAGUGGAUGGUAGAAUUCCAGGUGUAGCGGUGAAAUGCGUAGAGAUCUGGGAGGAAUACCGAUGGCGAAAGCAGCCCAUCUGGCCUAAUACUGACGCUGAGUACGAAAGCAUGGGGAGCAA